rnacentral:rRNA from 1 species
UGGGGAAUAUUGGACAAUGGGCGAAAGCCUGAUCCAGCAAUGCCGCGUGAGUGAUGAAGGCCUUAGGGUUGUAAAGCUCUUUUACCAGGGAUGAUAAUGACAGUACCUGGAGAAUAAGCUCCGGCUAACUCCGUGCCAGCAGCCGCGGUAAUACGGAGGGAGCUAGCGUUGUUCGGAAUUACUGGGCGUAAAGCGUACGUAGGCGGUGACUCAAGUCAGAGGUGAAAGCCUGGAGCUCAACUCCAGAACUGCCUUUGAAACUAGGUCGCUAGAAUCACGGAGAGGUGAGUGGAAUUCCGAGUGUAGAGGUGAAAUUCGUAGAUAUUCGGAAGAACACCAGUGGCGAAGGCGGCUCACUGGACGUGUAUUGACGCUGAGGUACGAAAGCGUGGGGAGCAAACAGGAUUAGAUACCCAUGUAGUCCCUG